CCCUUAGAUGUCCGGGGCCGCACGCGCGCUACACUGAAGGAAUCAGCGUGGCUUUCUCCCUGACCCGAAAGGGUUGGGAAACCCGUUGAAUCUCCUUCGUGAUAGGGAUUGGGGCUUGAAACUAUUCCCCAUGAACGAGGAAUUCCCAGUAGGCGCGAGUCAUCAGCUCGCGUCGAUUACGUCCCUGCCCUUUGUACACACCGCCCGUCGCUACUACCGAUCGGAUGGUUUAGUGAGACCCUCGGACUGGUCCCGCUGUCGGACAGGCAACUGUUUGCAGCGCGUGCGCCGGGAAGAAGGUCGAACUUGACUAUCUAGAGGAAGUAAAAGUCGUAACA
rnacentral:rRNA from 1 species